GACAGAGGGUGCAAACGUUGUUCGGAAUUACUGGGCGUAAAGCGCGUGUAGGCUGCUUCGCAAGUCGGGUGUGAAAGCCCUGGGCUCAACCUAGGAAGUGCACUCGAAACUGCGGAGCUUGAGUCCUGGAGAGGAAGGCGGAAUUCUCGGUGUAGAGGUGAAAUGCGCAGAUAUCAGGAAGAACACCCGUGGCGAAGGCGGUUGCCUGGGGCUUUGCUGACGCUGAGGCGCGAAAGCGUGGGGAGCGAUCCGG
rnacentral:rRNA from 1 species